UACGAAGGGGGCUAGCGUUGCUCGGAAUCAUUGGGCGUAAAGCGCACGUAGGCGGACUCUUAAGUCGGUGGUGAAAUCCUGGAGCUCAACUCCAGAACUGCCUUCGAUACUGAGAGUCUCGAGUCCGGGAGAGGUGAGUGGAACUGCGAGUGUAGAGGUGAAAUUCGUAGAUACUCGCAAGAACACCAGUGGCGAAGGCGGCUCACUGGCCCGGUACUGACGCUGAGGUGCGAAAGCGUGGGGAGCAAACAGG
rnacentral:rRNA from 1 species